AUUGAACGCUGGCGGCAUGCUUUACACAUGCAAGUCGAACGGUAACAGGCCGCAAGGUGCUGACGAGUGGCGAACGGGUGAGUAAUGCAUCGGAACGUGCCCAGUCGUGGGGGAUACCGCAGCGAAAGCUGCGCUAAUACCGCAUACGAUCUAUGGAUGAAAGCGGGGGACCGUAAGGCCUCGCGCGAUUGGAGCGGCCGAUAUCAGACUAGCUAGUUGGUGGGGUAAAAGCCCACCAAGGCGACGAUCGGUAGCUUGUAGGCUAGGACGACCGGCCACACUGGGACUGAGAGACGGCGCAGCAUACGACGGGAGGAUGCAGUGGGAAUUUUGGACAAUGGGCGAAAGCCUGAUCCAGCCAGUCCGCGUGUCUGGAGAAGGCCUUCGGGUUGUAAAGGACUUUUGUCGGGGAGGAAAUCCCCAGCGCUAAUACCGCUGGGGGAUGACAGUACCUGAAGAAUAAGCACCGGCUAACUACGUGCCAGCAGCCGCCGUAAAAC
rnacentral:rRNA from 1 species